GUGGGGAAUAUUGGACAAUGGGCGAAAGCCUGAUCCAGCCAUGCCGCGUGUGUGAAGAAGGUCUUCGGAUUGUAAAGCACUUUAAGUUGGGAGGAAGGGCAGUAAGUUAAUACCUUGCUGUUUUGACGUUACCGACAGAAUAAGCACCGGCUAACUUCGUGCCAGCAGCCGCGGUAAUACGAAGGGUGCAAGCGUUAAUCGGAAUUACUGGGCGUAAAGCGCGCGUAGGUGGUUAUAUAAGACAGAUGUGAAAUCCCCGGGCUCAACCUGGGAACUGCAUUUGUGACUGUAUAGCUAGAGUACGGUAGAGGGUAGUGGAAUUUCCUGUGUAGCGGUGAAAUGCGUAGAUAUAGGAAGGAACACCAGUGGCGAAGGCGACUACCUGGACUGAUACUGACACUGAGGUGCGAAAGCGUGGGGAGCAAACAGGAUUAGAUACCCGGGUAGUCC
rnacentral:rRNA from 1 species